rnacentral:rRNA from 1 species
AGUGAACGCUGGCGGUAGGCCUAACACAUGUAAGUCGAACGGCAGCACAGUAAGAGUUUGCUCUUACGGGUGGCGAGUGGCGGACGGGUGAGGAAUACAUCGGAAUCUACUUUUUCGUGGGGGAUAACGUAGGGAAACUUACGCUAAUACCGCAUACGACCUACGGGUGAAAGCAGGGGAUCUUCGGACCUUGCGCGAUUGAAUGAGCCGAUGUCGGAUUAGCUAGUUGGCGGGGUAAAGGCCCACCAAGGCGACGAUCCGUAGCUGGUCUGAGAGGAUGAUCAGCCACACUGGAAGUGAGACACGGUCCAGACUCCUACGGGAGGCAGCAGUGUGGAAUGUUAGACAAUGGUCGCAAGCCUGAUCCAGCCAUACCGCGUGGGUGAAGAAGGCCUUCGGGUUGUAAAGCCCUUUUGUUGGGAAAGAAAAGCAGCAGGUUAAUACCCCGCUGUUCUGACGGUACCCAAAGAAUAAGCACCGGCUAACUUCGUG